rnacentral:lncRNA from 1 species
GGCAACAUGCUCUGGUACCGUUCCACGCUGUGGAAGCUUUGUUCUUUUGCUCUUUGCAAUAGAUCUUGCUGCUGCUCAGUCUUUCGGUCCACGCUGCUUUUAUGAGCUUGUAACGCUCACCGCCAAGGUCUGUAGCUUCACUCCUGAGCCAGCGAGACCACGAACCCACCAGAGGAAGAAACUCGGAACACAAGUGAACAUCAGAAGGGACAAACUCCAGACGCGCCACCUUAAGAACUGUAACACUCGCCGCGAGGGUCCGCGUCUUCAUUCUUGAAGUCAGUGAGACCAAGAACCCACCAAUUCCGGACACAGAACCACAGG